GAUGAACGCUAGCGGCAGGCCUAAUACAUGCAAGUCGAACGGUGUCUUCGGACAUAGUGGCGCACGGGUGCGUAACACGUAUGCAACCUACCUUACAUUGGGGGAUAGCCUUUCGAAAGGGAGAUUAAUACCGCAUAAGACAGUAGCUGGGCAUCCAGCAGCUGUUAAAGAUUUAUCGAUGUAAGCUGGGCAUGCGUCCAAUUAGCUAGUUGGUGAGGUAACGGCUCACCAAGGCAAUGAUUGGUAGGGGAACUGAGAGGUCAAUCCCCCACACUGGCACUGAGAUACGGGCCAGACUCCUACGGGAGGCAGCAGUAGGGAAUAUUGGGCAAUGGACGCAAGUCUGACCCAGCCAUGCCGCGUGCAGGAUGAAGGCGUUAUGCGUUGUAAACUGCUUUUAUACAGGAAGAAACGACUCUUGCGAGAGGCAUUGACGGUACUGUAUGAAUAAGCACCGGCUAACUCCGUGCCAGCCGCCGCGGUAA
rnacentral:rRNA from 1 species